AAGUCGUAACAAGGUUUCCGUAGGUGAACCUGCGGAAGGAUCAUUAACACGUUUUCCAAACGUUAUUGACCCAUCUCUAUUUUCCGUGCACCCCCCCUGCGUCCGGCCUCCCAGCCGCCUAUCGUGUUUACACGGUGUGGCCUGUUGGGCGUCUUUGGGAUCAAAGAAGUUGGGAAUUGUCGCAAGACUUUUUCUUCCUUCUCCCUUGGGCGUUGCCACCUCACCCAAACCCUUUAAUCUAAUUGAUCUGAACUUUUAGUUAGAGACCCUUCACGGGGUCGAUAACGAUACGAAACAAACAACAACUCUUAACAACGGAUAUCUUGGUUCUC
rnacentral:misc_RNA from 1 species